rnacentral:rRNA from 2 species
CGACUUAUAUUCUGUAGCAAGGUUAACCGUAUAGGGGAGCCGGAGGGAAACCGAGUCUUAACCGGGCGUUAAGUUGCAGGGUAUAGACCCGAAACCCGGUGAUCUAGCCAUGGGCAGGUUGAAGGUUGGGUAACACUAACUGGAGGACCGAACCGACUAAUGUUGAAAAAUUAGCGGAUGACCUGUGGCUGGGGGUGAAAGGCCAAUCAAACCGGGAGAUAGCUGGUUCUCCCCGAAAGCUAUUUAGGUAGCGCCUCGUGAAUUCAUCUCCGGGGGUAGAGCACUGUUUCGGCUAGGGGGCCAUCCCGGCUUACCAACCCGAUGCAAACUGCGAAUACCGGAGAAUGUUAUCACGGGAGACACACGGCGGGUGCUAACGUCCGUCGUGAAGAGGGAAACAACCCAGACCGCCAGCUAAGGUCCCAAAGUCAUGGUUAAGUGGGAAACGAUGUGGGAAGGCCCAGACAGCCAGGAUGUUGGCUUAGAAGCAGCCAUCAUUUAAAGAAAGCGUAAUAGCUCACUGGUCGAGUCGGCCUGCGCGGAAGAUGUAACGGGGCUAAACCAUG